AGGCAGACUAUGCUUAUAUUGUACUUGAUCAAUGUAGAGAGUAGAGAUAAGAAAAAAAAUAACUUUCUAAUUCAAUGUUCCAAUGAUAAUCUUUAGGAUAAUUACUCUGUUCUCUAUAUUAAACUCAUUUGUUCCUUUAUAAAUGAGUCAAUGGCACUUCCCAAACUACUGUGUCCUUGUUUGUUACAGCCCUUGUCACUCAGCUGCUAGUGCUUCUCCAUGCUGAGUGAGCUGCUGGACAGUGGGGCUGGUCACUGGAGUAGGCAGUGGCCCAGGAAAGAGCCAUCAUCAGCGACAACUCUUGAAAACUUUUUACAAAGAAAUGAUAUGAAAAUACAAUGCAAUAGACAACUAUGAGCUGCAUAAUGCUUUCUCUGGCCUUCCAUUUCCCUGCACCCCCCACCCCCUAUGAAAUAAAAAUAAUUUACAUUCAUUUCUG
rnacentral:lncRNA from 1 species